CUUCAUUUCACAAUUUUCCCCAAAUUGCAAUUUGCAAAGGACAUCCCUAACUUCUCUCUCCCUCUUCUUCCUCGGUGAACCUAUCCACUAGCCGCCGUUCACCGUCGUCCCCAGCCGGCGCCGCGGCUGUGUAGCCGCCUACCUUGCCGUCCCGGUGUCAUCGGAGCAGAGAAAGGGACGUCGCCCUCUCGGUGAAACCGCCUUCACCAUCGCCCGUUUUCCCUUCCUCCUUCAUCUCUCUCUUUCUUUUCGAACUCUCUCUUCCUCUCCGAGAACCUGUAUCCGCCACCGUGGGGGUUCCACCGUCGAGCUUGACUCGGAGCUGCUGUCCCGCGGGAUUCGAGGUGCAUGCAUCGGCAGCGACUUCGCCGCCUCUCCUCCGCGACUCGCCAUUCUCCGACAGGUUGCCCAGGUUGUGGUAUUGUCAAACGCUAAGGGGGGUGGGGCAGCCCUCUUCGUCUCCAGGCUGCCGAUAGUCUAUCUCCGGCAGAUUCAUAGUCAUGAGAUGAGUUUCCCUAACUUGUGUCUUCUUUAGUUUGCCUAUUAUGUAGGGUUGAAGACUUUGUGUAGUUACCUUACUCGUUGGAGAAGUUUAGAACUCUAGUAUGUUGCGUUAUGUCUUGGUGUUACAUAACAGGAUGUGCCAAAGCUGUAAAUUCUUUAUCCUAAGCAUGAUGUUCACUACGAGGCAGAGGGUGUGCUAGUGUGUUUACUUGUUCUUCCAUUAUGCUAUCAUGCGGUUACGUGCUGAAAUGGUGGUGUUCUAUUUCUUGUUAGUGAAGAGAUUUUGUUCUUUAGUGACGGAUUAGGGGGUCUUGUAUUUUGGCUGAGAUGAUCGAAAACUUAAAUCUUCCUAUAAGUUUGAGCAUAUUAUGUGUUGUUCAAAGGCCUAACAUGCUGUGCUUUAGUUUUCCCCAUGAAUGUGUAUGAUAUGACGUAUCAAAGUGGUGAGAGUGUUGAUUACCUGCUGAGAAUGAGGCUGUGAGGGGUUGAGGAAUCUCUGACUAAGCUUAAAACGAGCUCACUAGUUUGCUAUGUUGCUGAAAUCUUCGAUGAUAUGUGUGGAGGGGGAUCUGAUGAGUAUGGAGAGGUUCCUUUAUAGAGGAGGGUGUGUACUCUUGGGGCUUUAAUGGGCUGUCCAGCCUCUUUGUUUUCAUAUUGCAGGGGAUCCCUUGUUGGUGAUCCUCACUACUCCUUUUAAUUAUUUCAUUCGUCUCUUUCUUGAAGCAUAAGUACUCUCUUCAUUAAGGUUACUUGUUUGGUGAUCCCUUGUUGGUGAUCCCUUGUGCAGGGAGUGCAGGUGGCUGUUGGAGCUGGAGCGCAGGGUUGCUGCAGCUGUGCGGCAGUUUUCCUCCCUUUUUCUGGCGUGUGGCAGCCUGCGGUUAUGGCUGAGGAUGCAGGCUGCUGUAUUGCCCCUUUUUGGCCAGUUCUUGACCUCUCUAACUAAAGUUGUCAUAUUCAAGGAGGACAUGAAGUUUGGCUGGUUGUGGCCGAUGGUAGCCCUCGGCAAACAGGCUGCAUUCACGGUCUAGGAAAGAGGUGGCUUGGACUCGUGAACAAUAGAUUCAAGGCGUUUAGCCCCUUGUUAUUCCCCUGUGUAAUUUUUUUCUUUUUUUUUUGUAAACUAAUUCAUAGCUUGGAAUAUAUCAAUGUUGUAUUUUAUUUACUUAAAAGGAAUAAACGGACACGUAUUCAUUUUUA